UGCCCCACCUGAGGUUUGACCUUUUGAGCUCAGGAGCUGCUAUGGUGAUCAAAUCAAAGGGGAAUAGUGGCCAAUCAGAGGGGCUAUCGAGGCACAAAAACUGCAGCCCUUAUAAACCUGGGGAAAAGGAACUCGGUGGGACUCUUUCCCCCUCUCCACAAAACAAGUCUGUACUUGUUCU